AAAUUGAAGAGUUUGAUCAUGGCUCAGAUUGAACGCUGGCGGCAGGCCUAACACAUGCAAGUCGAACGGUAACAGGAAGCAGCUUGCUGUUUCGCUGACGAGUGGCGGACGGGUGAGUAAUGUCUGGGAAACUGCCUGAUGGAGGGGGAUAACUACUGGAAACGGUAGCUAAUACCGCAUAACGUCGCAAGACCAAAGAGGGGGACCUUCGGGCC
rnacentral:rRNA from 1 species